AACGCUAGCGGCAGGCUUAACACAUGCAAGUCGAGGGGUAACAUUGUGCUUGCACAGAUGACGACCGGCGCACGGGUGCGUAACGCGUAUAGAACCUACCUUUUACAGAGGAAUAGCCUUUAGAAAUGAAGAUUAAUGCCUCAUAGUAUUGUAGACUGGCAUCAGUUUAUAAUUAAAGAUUUAUCGGUAAAAGAUGGCUAUGCGUCCUAUUAGUUAGUUGGUAAGGUAACGGCUUACCAAGACAGCGAUAGGUAGGGGUCCUGAGAGGGAGAUCCCCCACACUGGUACUGAGACACGGACCAGACUCCUACGGGAGGCAGCAGUGAGGAAUAUUGGACAAUGGAGGAGACUCUGAUCCAGCCAUGCCGCGUGUAGGAAGAAUGCCCUAUGGGUUGUAAACUACUUUUAUACAGGAAGAAACACUGGUAUGUAUACCAGCUUGACGGUACUGUAAGAAUAAGGACCGGCUAA
rnacentral:rRNA from 1 species